UACGUAGGGGGCAAGCGUUAUCCGGAUUUACUGGGUGUAAAGGGAGCGUAGACGGCACUGCAAGUCUGGAGUGAAAGCCCGUGGCCCAACCACGGGACUGCUCUGGAAACUGUGUUGCUGGAGUGCAGGAGGGGUAAGCGGAAUUCCUAGUGUAGCGGUGAAAUGCGUAGAUAUUAGGAGGAACACCGGUGGCGAAGGCGGCUUACUGGACUGUAACUGACGUUGAGGCUCGAAAGCGUGGGGAGCAAACAGG
rnacentral:rRNA from 1 species